AGAAAACCCGAAAAACUGCGGAGUAACUUGACAACUUCGUUCGAGGUGUUCCCGAUCUCUAAAAAUCACGAAAUUAAAUCUGGAAUGUCCUUAAAUAUUGAAUUUUUGAUCUGGAAAUUUUGGGCACCAAAUUCAACCCGCUGAAUCUUUUUUUUAAUUUUUUAUUGAAUUUCGUCUUUUUUGAUUUUUUGACUUUUUUGACUGAUUUUUUUGCGGGAAUAAUUUUUUUAUAUUCAAUAACAGUGCCACAAAUGUGUAUGUAAAAUUUCAGAUCAAUCGGACAAUGUUUACCCACCCAAAUGAAUUUUUUUUGAACAAUUUUUCUGGGUAAAACUGCUGUUUGUGCUUUAAAAAAUAGAGAUCAGUUUAGAAAUCAACCAAGAACACCCAAAACGCCCAAAAUCUG
rnacentral:lncRNA from 1 species